rnacentral:rRNA from 1 species
CCUUACACAUGCAGUCGAACGGAAAGGUCUCUUCGGAGAUACUCAAGUGGCGGACGGGUGAGUAACACGUAGGAAUCUGCCCCAGAGUGGGGGACAACCAAGGGAAACCUUGGCUAAUACCCCAUAUGGCGUGAGCUGAAAGUUUUUUCGCUCUGGGAGGAGCCUGCGCUUGAUUAGCUAGUUGGUGAGGUAAUAGCUCACCAAGGCGACGAUCAAUAGCUGGUCUGAGAAGAUGACCAGCCACAAUGGGACUGAGAUACGGCCCAUACUCCUACGGGAGGCAGCAGUGGGGAAUUUUGCGCAAUGGACGAAAGUCUGACGCAGCAAUACCGUGUGUGGGAUGACGCCUCGUGGGGUGUAAACCACUGUCAGAAUGGAAAAAUUUGAUUGUACAUUCAAAGGAAGCACCGGCUAAUUCCGUGCCAGCAGCCGCGGUAAUACGAAAAGGUGCAAGCGUUGUCCGGAUUUAUUGGGCGUAAAGAGUUUUGUAGGCGGUUUUGUAAGUCUGAAGUGAAAUAAUGGAGCUCAACUCCAUACACGCUUUUGAAACUACAGAACUAGAGAAUGUUAGGGGUGAGUGGAAUUUCCA